UACGUAGGGUGCGAGCGUUGUCCGGAAUUAUUGGGCGUAAAGAGCUCGUAGGCGGUGUGUCACGUCGGCCGUGAAAACCUGCAGCUUAACUGUGGGCGUGCGGUCGAUACGGGCAUCACUGGAGUUCGGCAGGGGAGACUGGAAUUCCUGGUGUAGCGGUGAAAUGCGCAGAUAUCAGGAGGAACACCAGUGGCGAAGGCGGCUUCCUGGCCUGUUCUUGACGCUGAGGCGCGAAAGCUAGGGGAGCAAACGGG
rnacentral:rRNA from 1 species